rnacentral:rRNA from 1 species
UACAGAGGGUGCGAGCGUUAAUCGGAAUUACUGGGCGUAAAGCGCGCGUAGGCGGCUUUGCAAGUCGAGUGUGAAAUCCCCAGGCUCAACCUGGGAACUGCAUUCGAAACUGCUGAGCUAGAGUACAGAAGGGGCAACCGGAAUUCCCAGUGUAGCGGUGAAAUGCGUAGAUAUUGGGAAGAACACCUGAGGCGAAGGCGGGUUGCUGGGCUGAUACUGACGCUGAGGCGCGAAAGCCAGGGGAGCAAACGGG